UUGACCUCGAAUCAGGUAGGAAUACCCGCUGAACUUAAGCAUAUCCAUAAGCGGAGGAA
rnacentral:rRNA from 1 species